AAAGAAAGCUGGCGGCAUGCCUAACACAUGCAAGUCGAACGAGACCUUCGGGUCUAGUGGCGCACGGGUGCGUAACGCGUGGGAACCUGCCCUUAGGUUCGGAAUAACUCCCCGAAAGGGGUGCUAAUACCGGAUAAUGUCUUCGGACCAAAGAUUUAUCGCCUUUGGAUGGGCCCGCGUUGGAUUAGCUAGUUGGUAGGGUAAAAGCCUACCAAGGCGACGAUCCAUAGCUGGUCUGAGAGGAUGAUAAGCCACACUGGGACUGAGACACGGCCCAGACUCCUACGGGAGGCAGCAGUGGGGAAUAUUGGACGAGGGGCGAAAGCCUGAUCCAGCAAUGCCGCGUGAGUGAUGAAGGCCUUAGGGUUGUAAAGCUCUUUUACACGGGAUGAUAAUGACAGUACCGGGAGAAUAAGCGCCGGCUAACUCCGUG
rnacentral:rRNA from 1 species